GGUGAGGGUGUUUCAUGCUGGAGAUGCCUGUCUACCUGAGGCCUUUUGAAGAAAAGGGAGCAUUGGACUCGCCGUGCCGGCUCAGAUGAAAGGUUGAACAAGCCUGGGCUCCUUUCUCUGGCAGUGGCCAGGAAACAGAAGAACAAAACAAGCAGCAAGUAAUGCUUUCCCUGCUCCAUCCUCCUCACAGAGCGAGUCUUCUCAGUUCUGGCACCUGUCCUGAUGAGAUAAGGAGGAAUAACUUCAUUCGGUGGCAAGGAGAGGAGGGAGGUGCUCCCUUCAAAGUUCCUCUAAGGCAUGGGCUCUGGACAACACCGGGUUAGGUCUUCACAAAAUGAUGAAAGCAGAGGAGUAACUCCUGAGGAAGGAAAGAAAUAGCUUUUUUAAAGCUUUUAAUUUUAAAAGCAACACAAUCUGGAAGCAUCAGCGUUUGUUCCAUCUUGCCAAACCUCAAGCCUGAGUUCCCAGGAACGUUCCUCCAGAGGAAGGUGUCCAUAGGCAGGUGUUUCUUGCCAGCUGGUCUGGACCUUGGGCAGUUCCUGUGCUGUGAGUAAGCUUCCUUGGUACAGACAUGCCACAGCACCGCUAAGCUUGCAAGCACCACUUUCUGCUUCAAAGAAGUUACAAGUACCAAAUGCACCAGAGGACCCUGCCAGUUCCAUCAGCCAAAUCAGCUGCAGCCUAAGGAGGUCAGAAACAACUCAGACACACCUGGGAAUACUCAUGAAGCACUCGAGCCUAUUCACAGCUGCUCAAGGUGUCCAAUGGUCUGCAGACAUUUGAACGAUGUGUGUGAGCCAGACAGGUGUGGCUUCAGCAGCUUAGAUGCCAACAGAAACCCAGCAGGCCAGAAUCCCUCGCCCACUUCUUCAUUUGCUUGGGCCAGGAUCACCCCAGAGGCAGUCCUGUGUACGAAGGAGACCACUGUGGGUGCCACAGCUCCAAUGCUCCCUGUCCCAGGCACCCUGCCCACCCUGGGAACAGCAUCUUCCAGCCCGUGUGCACAGGGGUGGGAUGCUUGUAGAAUGUUUGUUUCAUAGGACAGGGUAUAUCUGUUUUUUAGAACUGGAUGCUUCUCAAGUGCUGUUAAGAGACUGCAACUUGUGGUGCUCGGAAUCGUUGGCCGUUGUUAUGUAGGCACACAUUUCUCCUUGGUUGGUUUGAC
ensembl:lncRNA